AUGUCGCUCAAACAUCAGCGAGACUAGUUUCAUCCGAGGAGAUCUACAUAGUAGACGAUUACGAGUCGUUAAAAUAAUUCUAUUUAAUUAAAUAUUUCCAGUUGAUGGACAGACGUUGCGAUGGAAAGUUGAUUUCGUACGCGACUUUCUUCUAAUUAAUCCAAUGCGAGUGUGUCCCUGUUUCUCCUUGAUUUUUCACUAUGAAAACACGGAAAUAUAAAUGGUUGUUGUUUAAUAAUGUAUUAACGCGGUCUCUAGCUUGAAACGGUAACGGUGAAUGGAAUCGAAAAUAAGCGUUCCUAGGUGAGAGAGAAAAAAUGUUAAGAUGCGGCAGGUAAUUGGACGCAGGUAAUUAACGGAUGAUAAUAACGAUAAUGAUUACGGCGAUGACGACGAUAAUAGUGGUAUCGUUGUAUUAUAUCCGUAGCAGGAAAGUUUAUGCAUCAUCUGGGAACCUGUUGCAGAUGCAUCAGCCUGUUGCUACUAGUAAGGGAAAAAGAAAAGAGAGAGAAA